rnacentral:rRNA from 1 species
CAGUCGCCACGGUAAUACGUAGGUGGCAAGCGUUGUCCGGAAUUAUUGGGCGUAAAGGGCUCGCAGGCGGUUUCUUAAGUCUGAUGUGAAAGCCCCCGGCUCAACCGGGGAGGGUCAUUGGAAACUGGGAAACUUGAGUGCAGAAGAGGAGAGUGGAAUUCCACGUGUAGCGGUGAAAUGCGUAGAGAUGUGGAGGAACACCAGUGGCGAAGGCGACUCUCUGGUCUGUAACUGACGCUGAGGAGCGAAAGCGUGGGGAGCGAACAGGAUUAGAGACCCCUGUAGUCCCUGUCUCUUAUAC